CGGGGAGUAGCGUAAUUGGCUAUCGCGCCUGCUUUGGGAGCAGGAGGCUGCAGGUUCAAGUCCUGUCUCCCCGACCA
rnacentral:tRNA from 1 species